rnacentral:rRNA from 1 species
GACGAACGCUGGCGGCGUGCUUAACACAUGCAAGUCGAACGAAGAGCGAUGGAAGCUUGCUUCUAUCAAUCUUAGUGGCGAACGGGUGAGUAACGCGUAAUCAACCUGCCCUUCAGAGGGGGACAACAGUUGGAAACGACUGCUAAUACCGCAUACGAUCUAAUCUCGGCAUCGAGGAUAGAUGAAAGGUGGCCUCUACAUGUAAGCUAUCACUGAAGGAGGGGAUUGCGUCUGAUUAGCUAGUUGGAGGGGUAACGGCCCACCAAGGCGAUGAUCAGUAGCCGGUCUGAGAGGAUGAACGGCCACAUUGGGACUGAGACACGGCCCAGACUCCUACGGGAGGCAGCAGUGGGGAAUCUUCCGCAAUGGACGAAAGUCUGACGGAGCAACGCCGCGUGAGUGAUGACGGCCUUCGGGUUGUAAAGCUCUGUUAAUCGGGACGAAAGGCCUUCUUGCGAAUAGGGAGAAGGAUUGACGGUACCGGAAGAGAAAGCCACGGCUAACUACGUG